GGUUGUGGCUCAGUGGUAGUGUACUUGCCUAGCAUGUAUGACGCCCUGAGUUCGAUUCUCAGCACCA
rnacentral:tRNA from 1 species